UUUCUCUUCCCCACCGAAGCCUCAAAACCCCUCUCUUCUUCUUCGUUUUCUUCUCUAGCGGCGACGAACGGCAGAUUUUUCUCCCGUUCUUCUUCUCAAGCAGCCCUCGUUUUCUCCUCCCGCACCUCUUCUCCUCCUCCAGCAAGGGCAGAGCACUGUUUUUUCCUUUGUUUCCUCUUCUCUACUUCUCGGCAGCACUGUUGGAGCUCCUCGGAGUUCGCCGGAGCUCGCCAAACCACCGAGAAAAGAGAGGAAACAAAACCCUAGUUUCUCUCUCCUUUUUCCCCACCAACAGCAGCAUUUUUUGUUGCAUUUUGUUUCCUCCAACAGCAGCCCUAGCUGCUGCCCUAUUCUUGGCAGUACCGUCGGAGUUCGCCGGAGCUAGCUGAGGUGGCCAACGACAAAGGGAAAGUAACCCUAGUUGCUGUCCUCAUUUCCAGCAGCCACAUUAGAAGAUACGAGCUCGAGUGGAGCGCGGUGACCUGCCGACACCCGCAGAUUUUGCUGUAUAUAAGUUUUGCAGACACAUGGAUCCUUUUGAUAUUAUAGUUGAUUUUGGACUUUCAUAGAAUUGUUCAGAGAUCUCGACGUGCUGAUUUUCUGGUUUGUUUUACUUUUGUUUCGCUGUAUUUACAUUUUGAAAUUUUGUUACCGAUGUCAUUUAUCUGUAUAGUAAGUGUAGUUUAUGAAAACUAUGACAUAUACAUAUAGUUGAUACAUUUCAUGGUUAUGUUGUUUCUAUUUUAUGUAUGUUCCAGCCGUGUGGGCUGAUGAAUUUGUUGUUUAUGUUUAUAUAUUGUGAUGUAUGUAUGUAUGCUUCAUAUUGUCACCGGUACAGGGGAGAUGUUGCCGGAUUUUUAUCUGGCAGGGACUCCUCUGGAGGCGUGACAGGAGGUCUUCUGGCUUCCAAGCCUGAUAAAAAACAUGAUCAAUGGAUAAACUUUUGCGACCACCUUAGUUUGGAGAUACAAACUAAUGAUAUGCUGUCGAAGAUCCAUCAGAUACUGCUUUUGAGUUACAAUGACUUGUCUUACC